rnacentral:rRNA from 1 species
AGAACGAACGCUGGCGGCAGGCUUAACACAUGCAAGUCGAACGCCCCGCAAGGGGAGUGGCAGACGGGUGAGUAACACGUGGGAACGUGCCCAAAGGUACGGAACAACUCCGGGAAACUGGAGCUAAUACCGUAUGUGCCCGAAAGGGGAAAGAUUUAUCGCCUUUGGAUCGGCCCGCGUCUGAUUAGCUAGUUGGCGGGGUAAUGGCCCACCAAGGCGACGAUCAGUAGCUGGUCUGAGAGGAUGACCAGCCACACUGGGACUGAGACACGGCCCAGACUCCGUACGGGAGGCAGCAGGUGGGGAAUAUUGGACAAUGGGCGCAAGCCUGAUCCAGCCAUCGCCGCGUGAGUGAUGAAGGUCCGUUUAGGGUUGUAAAGUCUUCUUUCGCCAGGGACGAUAAGUGACGGUACCUGGAUAAGACGCCCGCUACUGUCGCAGCAGCCG